rnacentral:tRNA from 2 species
AUUAUAUUGGCAGAAUAAUGCAUUAGAAUUAGAAUCUAAUCAACUAUUCAUUA